CCUACGGGUGGCAGCAGUCGGGAAUAUUGCGCAAUGGGGGAAACUCUGACGCAGUGACGCCGCGUAGAGGAAGAAGGAUUUCGGAUUGUAAAGUACUAUCGGCAGGGAAGAUAAAUGACUGUACCUAAGGAGGAAGCCCCGGCUAACUAUGUGCCAGCAGCCGCGGUAAUACAUAUGGUGCAAGCGUUAUCCGGAUUUAUUGGGUGUAAAGGGUGCGUAGGCGGAGCAUCAAGCCGGUUGUGAAAUCCCUCGGCGCAACUGCGGAACUGCAAUGAGAACUGUUCUGCUUGAGUGUCGGAGAGGAAGGUGGAAUUCCUAGUGUAGCGGUGAAAUGCGUAGAUAUUAGGAGGAACACCAGUGGCGAAGGCGACUUUCUGGACGAUGACUGACGUUGAGGCACGAAAGUGUGGGGAGCAAACAGGAUUAGAUACCCGAGUAGUC
rnacentral:rRNA from 1 species